UACGUAGGGUGCAAGCGUUGUCCGGAAUUAUUGGGCGUAAAGAGCUUGUAGGCGGUUUGUCGGCGUCUGCUGUGAAAUUUCGGGGCUCAACCCCGAACUUGCAGUGGGUACGGGCAGACUAGAGUGUGGUAGGGGAGACUGGAAUUCCUGGUGUAGCGGUGGAAUGCGCAGAGUAUCAGGAGGAACACCGGUGGGCGAAGGC
rnacentral:rRNA from 1 species